AGGAUAUCGGCUAUGGGCUGGAAUAAUGAAAAUAGUAAUGGAACAUGGCAUCAGCAGUGACAUGGAGGCUGAAAGAGCAGAAAUGUUGUGGAGAUCAAAGCAGUUGGGAACAGUCCUUUGUACUAUUAAUAUCUGCCAUAUUUUGAGAGUGGAGAAGAAGUGUAAAGGCAAGCUGUGCUCUGCUCUCCCUCGGGCCACCACCAUUAGAGGCACUUGCUGAGCCUGGCGAGCUCCUGCGGAAGGACAGCAGCCCGCCGGAGAACAGAGCAGAACAUGCACUAUCUAAAAAGCUAACAUGACAGAUACAAGGCCAGGCAAGCAUUCAAUUUGGGCUAUCAUGAAAAGGAAGGAGAAGAAGAGGAGAAUCUUUAGUGACAGCUUGCUGAGGAGCUGGCUCUGCCGUGUCUGGGAGCAGAGCCCUGAGCAGGAGAGCGCCAGUGCUCUGUGCCUGCUGGAGGAGAAGAAGAGUGCUGGGAAGCAGCCUGGCACCUGACUUCUUUAGGGCUGCCCAUCCACAGCCACUGGCCGGGUCAGAUCAGUCACAGGGAACACCUGGGUGACUGAAAUCAAUUCAUACACAGAGAGGAGUGCGAAAAAAUCAUCCAAGAGAAGCUCAGAGCCAGCUUGGAGAGCCUUGGUGGAAAAGGACAAUCUGCAGUGUGGCCAGGCCUUUGAGAACCACCUGAAACAAGAUCCCUCACUCAGGCUGCAGCUGAGCAAGGGUGAACAUUUAACUGUAAUUGUUUUGACUUCAGUGAAAGUGCUCAUCUGUUCAGCAUUAGACAUCUGCUUAAUUUCCUGAAUGGAUUGAGUCCUACAGAGCUAAACAUCCAGGAGUGACAAAUGCUGGUUCAGGUGUGGGAUUGUGCCUCUCUGAGACAGAUGUUCCUAAACCACCGCAUGCAUCAAAGUCAGCGGCACUAAAAGAGGGCUGAAUUUAGCCUUGUUCCUAUGUUUAUCCAUCCUGCAGCAUUAUGUGUUUUCCUUUCCCUCAUUUUUGCAUUCUACUGUCUCACUUCAGUACAAACUGUAUGAGACAGAGGCUCCUGGGGGAGCAGCUGGAGAUUUGAAAUUCACAUCACUGUUCCCCUUAAGCCUGUCAGAUGAUCAGAUAGCCGAGGAAGUGCUAAUAGCUUAUGCUCUGGUGAAAUAUGUUUUUCUGUACAUGAUUACCUUUGUAUUUUGUUCCCCUUAUCCCUGAUUGUCAGCAUUUUAAUUAAAAGUAGAGGUGUGAGAACAUGGGAAAACCUGUCUGCAGAACAAGGCUGACUUUGAUUUAAGUUAGUGUACUAAGUUUGUAAAUGUGGAACCCAAUUUUCUGCUGCUGUCAUCUGUCUGGAGAGAGACCAUGGAGCUGGAUGCUGAGAAUUCACUUUGCUUCCUGAGGCCUCUGUGUCUCUCCAGAGGGGCAGAGGGGGUGUACAGAGCAAGUAACCCUUGAUGGAGUUUUCCAAAGGUGCUUUGAGCUGCUAUUGCUGCUCUGACUAAAAGUU
rnacentral:lncRNA from 1 species